GUUGGUAUAGCUCAGACUGUUAUAGCGUGUGAUUCCUAACCCCAAGGUCGGUGGUUCUAUUCCACCUACCACCACCA
rnacentral:tRNA from 1 species